CGUAGGGUGCAAGCGUUGUCCGGAAUUAUUGGGCGUAAAGAGCUCGUAGGCGGUCUGUUGCGUCGGCUGUGAAAAACCCGGGGCUCAACCCCGGGCCUGCAGCCGAUACGGGCAGACUAGAGUUCGGCAGGGGAGACUGGAAUUCCUGGUGUAGCGGUGAAAUGCGCAGAUAUCAGGAGGAACACCGGUGGCGAAGGCGGGUCUCUGGGCCGAUACUGACGCUGAGGAGCGAAAGCGUGGGGAGCGAACAGGAUUAGAUACCCUGGUAGUCCACGCCGUAAACGUUGGGCGCUAGGUGUGGGUUCCCUUCCACGGGAUCCGUGCCGCAGCUAACGCAUUAAGCGCCCCGCCUGGGGAGUACGGCCGCAAGGCUA
rnacentral:rRNA from 1 species